GGGUGUGUUCGACCGUGUCGACUUCGUCAACGUGUGCGAGGGAUCGGAACGGAGGCUCACGGAGGCGCAGCGGCGUUGCUUUUGGGAGCCGCUCAUCGCGACGGCAGAAUGGCGAACUCCAGGAAGGCUAUGACAGACGCUUCGAGUCCCGUUGGAGCUGCGGAGAUCAGUAACUUGCUGGUUGACCUGGAAAACGUUAGAGGCGUUUUUUCUGGAAAGCUCAUCGACUACCGCAUGCCGUGCACGGCUUCCGAAGACAGAACGUGUCAGAUUGUUUCCAACCUUACCGUAUGGAAUGAAUUCCUAUGCCCGCUUCAGCUGGAGCUGCGCGAACUAUCAGAAACCGGGAGGCAACUGAGCCUGGUGGAAAUCAACAGGUGGUAUCGUGGGCAUAGGGAAGGCCGACUACGUCAAGCAGCCACGGUCCUGUACUGGCUUCUUAGCAUCCAUCACUGCGUGGCACGAAUACAGAUUGGGCAAAUCAUAGCUUCUGGAGAAAUGGCAGAAUUGUGCGUCCCGGUGCUUUGCAAAACCCUUGAAGGAAACUCUUCAUUGAAAUCGGUCAUUCUUGAUUCUGAUUUUUACGCGGAAUUCCAAUCCGAGGACAUAGAAAAGUUUUCCCAUGUCAUUUCGUCUUUGAAAUGCCCGGAGAAACUUGAGUACCCGCUUUACCCCAUUUUGUGUCCGCGCAGCGUUUCGGCUCUUCUUCGAAGCACGACAACGUUGACUGCACUCGACUGGUCCUCCAUAAAACAUCUAGAAGGCACGCUGCCACAGCGGUUCUUGGCAGCACUGAGAACGAACUCGACACUGCGUGAUUUGUCGUUAAGCGUAGCGGUAAUAAGCGCUGACCCGGCUUUGUUCCUUGAAUUUCUGAGCUGUCAUGCCCGGCUACAAAAUUUGAGAGUAAUCUUUAACUGUGAUUGCUGUUCUGACGAUUCCUUGAGAUGGAUUCUCAAAGGUAUGCUCAAGAACCGCUCAGUCUCGAGCUUGCAAGCCGAGAAUGUCACUUUGGAUUUUGAGAGCGUGGAGCUUGCAACAAAAAUGCUUGCCCAAAACAAAGUUUUGCGAAGCUUUCGGCUGUCACCACGCAUCUCCGUGCUGAAUGAGUCUACGGCGGUCCUAUUGCUCAGAAUGCGGCGAAACACCACGGAAUUUCAAGAAGCCAUUGCGCGUAACAACACGUUACAGUAUAUGGCCUUGAAUUUCAGCAUCUGGAGUGCUGAACACUGGGCGCCUUUCUUCCGCGUUUUGUCGCAGCACACAAGCCUCAAGAUGGUGACCAUCGAUGUUGAAGAAGAAGAAGAAGAAUACCGUCUCUUGCCUGGCGUCGUCAAAGCCCUUCAAGAAAGCGGCUCUGAAGAGAAAGUUUUCUUUAAGGCUGUAGGCAUCACCGACGAAUUGGCUGUUGCUGAUUGCAAGCCUUUUUGCGAAAUUCGGGUAGAGGUAUGUGACCCGACAAAAGACAGAAUGUUGCCACUUUUCCAACAGAUGUCCACUGUCUUCCCGCUUGAAAGAGCUAAGCCUGACACUUCGGAGCUGGGACAGUGCAAUUUUUCAUGCUAUUUCUGAUUGCAUAGCAAUGACAUCGACGGUCCGAAAGUUGUGCGUGGACGUGAGCAUGCUAAGCUCUGCGCAUGAAUUAGUCCAGUGGUGGCCAGCACUUUCGAGAUCGCUUCUGCUGAACAGGAGCAUUGCUGAGCUCAGCAUUGGUGUUUAUUUGAUAAAGACCGGCCAGAACAUCGAUAUCCUCGGUGAUGCGAUAAUGCGAAGCCCUACUAUCCGAAAGCUUAACUUGAGGUCAUUUCAGCUACUCGAAUUGCUCACCUUCAUUAACGGUUUACGCCCAGACAUAUUCAAGAACUAUGCGCUGUGCAGUGUCACCGGGGACUAUCCGAAUUUUAGUAUGAAUGCGGACUGGUUCGCCGUGCGCGAGACAUCACGGCGGAACUCUGGCUUCGUCGCCCGAGCAGCCCAGUUCCUGAAUCACGCACGGUGUGACAGGCACUGCGCUGCAGGUUUGGAUCGCGUCUCCCGUCAUCCAGCGCUCGUGGCGGAGCUCGCCGAAGUGCUGUCCAUCGGCCAGGUCGAGGCAGCUGACAUGGUGCAACGACGGUUCCGGCACAUUCAGGGUUUGCACGAGUUCAUGCGACUGGCCGGAGUCGUCAAAGGGCGCGUCACGUGUCUGCCACGUGAGGAUGGACGCACGCAACUGGACGACCUCAA